CAUGGUGUAAAUGAUGACUAAACUUUUUUCCCCAGCAGAUCGAUUCUGUUGACCUCUUUUGAAAAUUAAGCCAAAGUGUCUGAGCCAUUUUU